rnacentral:rRNA from 1 species
AUCGAACGCUGGCGGCAUGCCUUACACAUGCAAGUCGAACGGCAGCACGGGAGCAAUCCUGGUGGCGAGUGGCGAACGGGUGAGUAAUACAUCGGAACGUGCCCAGUUGUGGGGGAUAGCCCGGCGAAAGCCGGAUUAAUACAGCAUAAGACAUAUGGGUGAAAGCGGGGGAUCGCAAGACCUCGCGCAAUUGGAGCGGCCGAUUGCAGAUUAGCCUGUUUGUUGGGUAAAAGCCUACCAAGGCGCCGAUCUGUAGCUUGUCUGAGAGGACGACCAGCCACACUGGGACUGAGACACGGCCCAGACUCCUACGGGAGGCAGCAGUGGGGAAUUUUGGACAAUGGGCGCAAGCCUGAUCCCGCCAUGCCGCGUGUGGGAAGAAGGCCUUCGGGUUGUAAACCACUUUUGUCAGGGAAGAAACGGUCUGAUCUAAUAAAUCGGACUAAUGACGGUACCUGAAGAAUAAGCACCGGCUAACUACGUGCCAGCCGCCGCAGUAAAAC